GAUGAACGCUGGCGGCGUGCCUAAUACAUGCAAGUCGAGCGAACGGACGAGAAGCUUGCUUCUCUGAUGUUAGCGGCGGACGGGUGAGUAACACGUGGAUAACCUACCUAUAAGACUGGGAUAACUUCGGGAAACCGGAGCUAAUACCGGAUGAUAUUUUGAACCGCAUGGUUCAAAAGUGAAAGACGGUCUUGCUGUCACUUAUAGAUGGAUCCGCGCUGCAUCAGCUAGUUGGUAAGGUAACGGCUUACCAAGGCAACGAUGCAUAGCCGACCUGAGAGGGUGAUCGGCCACACUGGAACUGAGACACGGUCCAGACUCCUACGGGAGGCAGCAGUAGGGAAUCUUCCGCAAUGGUCGAAAGCCUGACGGAGCAACGCCGCGUGAGUGAUGAAGGUCUUCGGAUCGUAAAACUCUGUUAUUAGGGAAGAACAUAUGUGUAAGUAACUGUGCACAUCUUGACGGUACCUAAUCAGAAAGCCACGGCUAACUACGUG
rnacentral:rRNA from 1 species